rnacentral:rRNA from 1 species
UACGGAGGGAGCUAGCGUUGUUCGGAAUUACUGGGCGUAAAGCGCACGUAGGCGGCUUUGUAAGUUAGAGGUGAAAGCCUGGGGCUCAACUCCGGAACUGCCUUUAAGACUGCAUCGCUUGAAUCCAGGAGAGGUGAGUGGAAUUCCGAGUGUAGAGGUGAAAUUCGUAGAUAUUCGGAAGAACACCAGUGGCGAAGGCGGCUCACUGGACUGGUAUUGACGCUGAGGUGCGAAAGCGUGGGGAGCAGACAGG